rnacentral:tRNA from 1 species
UUUUAGUUUAAUUGAGAAUUUUUCACUUACAAUGAAGAGGUUAAAGAGUUUUUUGU